rnacentral:rRNA from 1 species
GCACAAGCGGUGGAGCAUGUGGUUCAAUUCGACGCAACGCGAAGAACCUUACCAGCCCCUGACAUGUGACUCGCCGGGAGCAGAGACGCUCCCUUCGGUUCGGCCGGAGUCAACACAGGUGCUGCAUGGCUGUCGUCAGCUCGUGUCGUGAGAUGUUGGGUUAAGUCCCGCAACGAGCGCAACCCUCGUCUCCAGUUGCCAUCAGGUUAUGCUGGGCACUUUGGAGAAACUGCCGGUGACAAGCCGGAGGAAGGUGGGGAUGACGUCAAGUCCUCAUGGCCCUUACGGGCUGGGCUACACACGUGCUACAAUGGCGGUGACAAUGGGAUGCGAUGGCGCGAGCCGGAGCCGAUCCUAAAAAACCGUCUCAGUUCGGAUUGCACUCCGCAACUCGAGUGCAUGAAGUUGGAAUCGCUAGUAAUCGAGGAUCAGCAUGCCUCGGUGAAUACGUUCCCGGGC